UACGAAGGGUGCAAGCGUUAUUCGGAAUUACUGGGCGUAAAGCGUGCGUAGGCGGUUUGUUAAGUCUGUUGUGAAAGCCCCGGGCUCAACCUGGGAAUGGCAAUGGAAACUGGCGAGCUAGAGUACGGUAGAGGAGAGUGGAAUUCCCGGUGUAGCAGUGAAAUGCGUAGAGAUCGGGAGGAACAUCAGUUGCGAAGGCGGCUCUCUGGACCAGUACUGACGCUGAGGCACGAAAGCCAGGGGAGCGAACGGG
rnacentral:rRNA from 1 species